rnacentral:lncRNA from 1 species
AACCCGUGAUUGCUGGGACUGGCUCAAGCUCCACCAGGAGCCGUCGUUCUUUUACAAAGAGGGGUGGAGGUUCCAGUGGAGGCUGUUGUUGCCUUUUUUUUUUUUUUUUUAAUGAAUGGAGGGCGGCGGCGACUGCUGCAGCUGGGCCAGCUGCGCGGGCUGCACCCCCUCCCAGCCUGCGAGAGGAGGAAGCUAGUAGAAGAUUUGUACCAACAAAACCAAGGAGUAAACAACUUGAGAAUAACUGCAUGAGCUCAGGGCUUGGACUGUCAGAUUCCAUUUCUAAGCUUCCAGAAGAGCGACACAUAGACACUGGGGAAGUCAGAGCCUUUGAACUCCAAUGCCAUCCCCGUCACCCACCUCCACCACCAGCACCACCACCGAAUGGCACUUUGGACAAUUUUUCCCUCUCAUGUGACUUUUGUCAUUUCUUACGUCAGUUGGAGCCAGCACCUCUCAAAUCCAUCUUCUAAAACCCAGAAAAUUGUGUGUAACACAUGAUGACUGAAAGGGAGUAGGCUGACCAGUUAAGAGCCUGCCACUGGAAUGGAAGGCUGUGGGAAGGUGAGGGGACGGUGGACAUCAACCGGGAAGAGCUGAAAGAUGGCGUUACCAGGACUUCCUUGAGUGCUCCAGGAGCUUGUCAUUCCAGAGACAGAGCAGCCCAGAAGUCCUGGGAUUUACACCUCUAGUAGAAACCCUCAACCAGAGAAGGAUGGAAGUCAAUGGGUGGGUUGGGAAGCUCCAUUCUGUAUCACCCUCGCUCAAGGACCUGGACUGAAGGAUUUCUGCUUUCAAGAAGAAAAAAAAAAAUAGAAGACAUGUUUACUAAUACACUGGUAAUUAUUUCUAUUCAUAUUUUAUUGGCCAAAGCGAGUCAUAUGGGUAUACAACAUAAAAUGAGGUGCAGAAUUUCAAUCCUAUCAUUUGCUUGGAAGGUGGAGAGUCAUAUUUGGAGAACAUGAGUUCUAUAAUUGUUGGAUGUAACAGUCUAUACAUGUCCACUAAGUCAAGUUUGCUAAUCGUGUUUAAAUAAUCUAUAUCCUUACUCAUGUAUCUGUUCACUUCUUGCAGUUUUGUCAAUCUUAGUUUUAUAUUUUUGAAGCUAUAUUAUGUGUACAAGUUUUAUAAUCAUUGUACUUUCUCAUGAGUUAAACUUUUUAUCAUUAUGAUAAUGCUUUUUGCCUUAAAGUCUACUUUGUCUAAUAUUAAUAUAGAUAACAUUAAUUUUUGUUAAUAUUUAUAUUUUUCCACUUUUUAAUUUCAACAUUAUAAUACAAAUGUUUUAGGUAUGUUUCUUAUAAACAGUAUGCAGAUUGUUAUCCAAUUCAAUCUUUGAUUUUUAAUUGAACUAUUUAAUUUAUUUACAUUUAAUGUAAUUACUGAUAUAUUUGAAUUUAAAUAUACCGUCUUCUUAAGUGUUUUCAAUUGUCUCACAUGCUCUCUGUUCUCUUUAUCCUCACUUUUUGCCUGCUUUUGGAAAAUAUUGUUUUUGCCUCCAUUGUUUUGGAAGUUACAUAUCUUUUUAGUAGUCUUUUAGAGUUUAUCCUAUAGAUCACAGUAUGGGUCUCUGAGUUAGCAAAGGCUAAUAAUGUUAAUUGGCACUUUCAUUUUCUUCCAUAAUAGUACAAGGACCUUAGAACGUUUCAAUUCAUUUACUUCCUCUCCUGAUUUGUAUGCACUUUUAAUAUUUUUAAUUUUUUAAAUCUUCAGCACUGUGUUACAUUGUUUCAUACGGUAUAAUUCAUUUAGACUUCCUCAAAUGGACCUUCGUGCUGGACCUCAUUUCUUUCUGCAUCUAUAUAACCUAUCAUCCUUAAUCAUCUUCCUUCUGCUUAAAGAACAUCCUUUAGUAUUUGAUGCUGGUAAAGAAUCCUGAAAAUGUCUUAAUUUCACUUUUAUUAUUGAAGGCUAUUUUCACUGGACAUAGAAUUCUAAUGUUGACAGUUAUUUUAUUUCAGCACUUGAAAGACAUUUAAAUUCCACUAAUUUCUAGUUUCCAUUGUUUCUAUCAAGAGGUAAGCUAACAGUCUAUUACAUUUUUUCAAGUAAUGACAGCUGCUUGUAAUUUUUUUUUCCCUUUGUCUUUGGUUUUCAUCUGUCUUAUUGUGAUGUACCUAGGUGUGGCUUUUAAAAAUUUCUCCUGCUUGCAGCUCCCAGGGCUUCUGAGAUUUGUGGCUUGUUGUCUUUAAUCAAUUUUGGGAAUUUUUCAACUAUUUUCUCUUCAAAUAUUGAUGCUGCACCAUUCUCUUUCUCUUCUCCUUCUGAAAUUUUAAUUCUCAUUUUAUCUCCAUAUCUCUUACUCUCUGUAGCAUUGCUAUCCUUUUGUCUCUCCAUGUUUCGUCAUGAUGUUGUCUUCUAACCUACUUUCCAGUUCAUCAAUUUUCCCUACAGCUGUGUAUAAUUUUUUGUUAAACCAAGUAAAGAGUAUCCACUGAGCUCUUUGCUUUUGUUAGUAUAUAUUUUAAAUUCUAAAUUGUUCACUGGUUAUUUUUUACAACUUUUUCAUCCUUUUUUAAAGUUUUCAGUUCUCUGCCAAAUUUGUUGAUACUGUCUUUUAUCUCCGUAUGUGUAGUAAACAUAAUUAAUUUAAAGUCCGUAUCUGAUAAAUCCAUUAACUGGAGUUCUGUGGUAUUGUUUCUAUUGUAGUUGUUUCUACUGGAUCUCAUGUUUUCUUAUUUCUUUAUGGGCCUGGUUAUUCUCUUGUGUGCUAAAAUUGUAUAUGAAAAAUUGUUGGUUGAAGUAAAGUAAAACUUAUUGUGUUAUAUUCCUCCUGAGAGUACAGUCAUCCCUCAGUAUCCACAGCAGGAUUGGUUCCAGGACCUACUGCAGAUACCAAAAUCCAUGCAGAUUUCAUUUCCACAAUCAACCCUGUGGAAUCCAUGGAUAUAAAACGUCGACCCUCCAUAUAUAAGUGAGUUUGGCAUCCUGCAACUACUGUCUUUUAUAUUUAUGUUUGGUUGCAGAUGCAGAAUUCACCAAAGCCUAAUCCAGAGCAAGGCCCUAACUCUUCAAUUCUAUGAAGGCUAAGAGAGCUGAGGAAGCUGUAGAAGAAAAACUGCAAGCUAGCAGGGGUUGGUUUAUGAAGUUUAAGGAAAUAAACCAUUCCGUAACAUAAAAGUGUAAGAUAAAGCAGCAAGUGCUGAUGUAGAAGCUGCAGCAAAUUAUUCAGAAGAUCUAGCUGAGAUCAUGGAUGGCGGUGGUUACACUAAACAACAGAGUUCCAGGGUAGACAAACAGCCUUCUAUUGGAAUAAGAUGCCAUCUAGGACUUUCAUAGCUAGAGAAGAGUGGGCUGACUAUAUUUAUUUUAAAAAUCCAUGUAUAGGCUGGGCGCAGUGGCUCACGCCUGUAAUCCCAGCAGCACUUUAGGAGGCUGAGGCAGGUGGGUCACCUGAGGUCAGGAGUUUGAGACCAGCCUGGCCAACAUGGUGAAACCCUGUCUCUACUAAAACUAAAAAAAUUAGCUGGCAUGGUGGCAGGCACCUGUAAUCCCAGCUACUCAGGAGGCUGAGGCAGGAGAAUUGCUUGAACCUGGGAGGCGGAGGUUGUAGUAAGCCGAGAUCGCGCCAUUGCACUCCAGCCUGGAUGACAAGAGCGAAAUUCUGUCCAAAAAAAAAAAAAAAAUCCAUGUAUAAAUGAGCCAUACAGUUCAAACCCAUGUUGUUCAAGGGUCAACUGUAUUUAUAUUUGCUUUUGCAAGAUACCUGGGGAUGUGAGGACCUGGGAUCACCUUUAUCCAAUUUGAAGAAUUAAGCUAAUUGGAUCUCAGCUGAGGCCCCACAAAAUCUCAUCUACUUCCAUCCAAGUCAUCCUGUCUUUUCUCUUUUUUAAAUUUUUUUGGAGGUGGGGUCUCACUGUGCUGCCCAGGCUGGACAACAUAGGUCCAGUGGCACAAACAUAGGUCACUGCAGCCUUGCACUCUUGGGCUGAAGGGAUCUUCCCAAGUAGCUGGGGCUACAAGCACAUGCCACCAUGCUACCAUGCUGCGCUAAUUUUUUCAUUCAGUCUUAAGAUGAAGACUUUCAGGGUCCUAGCCUGCUAUGGGGAGUUAUAUGUCUACCCUCUCCUUUGGUGAGCACCGGAUUCCAACUUGUGUUUAUGUGGCCACACAAAGCUGCCCAGGUGCUGCUUAGUCUCUUCAGUUCUUUUUUUUUUUUUGAGAGGGAGUCUCACUCUGCACUGUGUCGCCCGUGCUGGAGUGCAGUGGCAUGAUCUCGGCUCACUGCAACGUCUGCCUCAUAGGUUCAAGCUCCUCCGCCUCCUGGGAGCCUGGGUGAUUCUCCUGCCUCAGCCUCCCGAGUAGCUGAGAUUAUAGGCACCCGCCACCACACCCAGCUAAUUUUUCUUUUGUAUUUUAAUAGAGAUGGGGUUUCACCAUGUUGGUCAGGCUGGUCUCAAACCCUAACCUCAAAUGAUCCACCUGCCUUGGCCUCCCAAUGUGCUGGGAUUACAGGUGUGAGCCACCACACCCGGCCAUCUCUCCAGUUCUUUGUUGUCGUUUCCAGAAGCAGCAAAUGUCCCAAGGGGAAAAGAGGCCCAGUUAUUGGGCUUGCCUCCUUGAAUACCCAUCUUUCUCCAGCUCUUCAUUGGUGAUUCUUCAUUAUCUUUUUAAGUCUGAUGUUUUCAAGCACAUUUUAUUUUAAUUUUUUCCCACUUUUCUAAUUGUUCUCAGCAGGACAGUAGGUCUGAAUUUAGUCUGCUAUUACCAGAUGGUAGGAAAUAGACAGGUAUGCUUCAUUUUGUCAUAGUUUGCUUUACUACACUGCAGAUAUUAUAUUUUUUACAAAUUGGAGGUUCGUGGUAACCCUGCAUUGAAGAAGCCUUUAGGUGCCAUUUUUCCAACAGCAUGUGCUCACUUUUUGUUUCUGGGUCAUAUUUUGAUAAUUCUCAUAAUAUCUCAGACUUUUUCAUUAUUAUUAUAUUUGUUAUGGUAAUCUAUGAUCAGUGAUCUUUGAGAUUACUCUUGUAAUCAUUUUGGGGUGCCAUAAACUGUGCUCAUAUAAGAUGGUGAAGUUCAUUGAUAAAUGUUGUGUGUUCUGACUUCUCCACCAAUCAGCCAUUUCCCAUCUUUUACAUUCUUUUCAGUCCUCCUUAUUCCCUGAGACACAACAAUAUUGAAAUUAGACUAAUCAAUAACCCUACAAUGUCCUCUAAGUGUUCAAGUGAAAGCAAGGGUGGCACAUCCCACACUUUAAAUCGAAAGCUAAAAAUGAUUAAGCUCAGUGAGGAAUGCAUGAGGAAAAGCCAAGAGAGGCCAAAAUAGAGGGCUUUUGUGCCAAACAGGUAGCCAAGUUGUGAAUGGAAAGGAAAAGUUCUUGAAGGAAAUUAAAAGCACUACUCCAGUGAACACACAAAUGAUAAGAGAGUAAAACAGCCUUAUUGCUGAUAUGGAGAAAGUUUGAGUGGUCUGGAUAGAAGAUCAAACCAGCAACAACAUUCCUUUAAGUUAAAGCCUAAUCCAGAGCAAGGCCCUAACUCGCUUCAAUUCAAUGAAGGCUGAGAGAGGUAAGGAAGCUACAGAAGAAAAAUUAGAAGCUAGCAGAGGUUGGUUCAUGAAAUUUAAGGACAUAAACCAUUUCCACAACAUAAAGUGCAAGGUGAAGCAGCAAGCGCUCAUGUAGAAGCUGCAGCAAGUUAUCCAGAAAAUCUAGCUAAGAUUAUGGAUGGUGGUGGCUACACUAAACAAUAGAAUUUCAAUGUAGACAAAACAUCUAUCAGAAUAAGAUGCCAUCUAAGACUUUCAUAGCUAAAGAGGAGAAAGCAAUGCCUGGCUUCAACGCUUCAAGGGACAGGCUGACUGUCUUAUUAGGGGCUAAUGCAACUGGUGGCUUUAAGCUGAAGCCAAUUGCUCAUUUUCCAUACAGAAAAUCUUUGGACCCUUACAAAUUAUGCUAAACCCAGGCCAGACACAGUGGCUCAUGCCUGUAAUUCUAGCACUUUGGGAGGUCGAGGCAGGCAGAUCACUUGAGCUCAGGAGUUCGAGACUGGCCUGGGCAACAGGGUGAAACCCCAUCUCUACAAAAAAAUACAAAAACUAGCCAGGUGUGGUGAAGUGUGCCUGCAGUCCCAGCUACUCAGGAGGGUGAGGCAGGAGAAUUUCUUGAGCCUGGAGGCUGAGGUUGCCGUGAGUCAAGAUCACGCCAUUGCACUCCAGCCUGGGUGACAGGAGUGAAACCCUGUCUCAAAACAAAGAAUUGUGCUAAAUCUAUUCUGCCUGUGCUCUAUAAAUGAAAUAACAAAGCCUGAAUGACAGCACAUCUGUUUAUGGCAUGUUUACUGAAUAUUUUAAGCCUACCGUUGAGACUUACUCCUCCAGGGAAAAAAAGGGAUUCCUUUCAAAAUAUUACUUCUUGUUGGCAAAUGCAUCUAGUAACUCAAAAGCUCUGACAGAGAUGUACAAGGAGAGUAAUAUUUUCAUGCUUUUAACACAACAUCCAUUCUGCAGUCCAUGGAUCAAGAAGUCAUUUCAACUUUCAAGUCCUAUUACUUAAGAAAUGCAUUUUUUAAGGCUAUAGUUGUCAUAGAUAGUGAUUUCUCUGAUGGAUCUGGGCAAAAUCAAUUGAAAACCCUCUGCAAAGAAUUUACCAUUUUAGAUGCCCUUAAGUACAUUCACGAUUCAUGGGAGGAGGUCAGAAUAUCAACAUUAGCAGGAGUUUGGAAGAAGUUGAUUCUAACCCUCACGGAUGACUUAGAGGAGUUCAAGACUUCACUAGAGGAAGUCACUGCGGAGGUGCUGGAAACAGAAAACUAGAAUUAGAAGUGGAGCCUGAAAAUGUGCCUGAAUUGCUUCAAUCUUGUAACGGUUAAUACUGAGUGUUCACUUGAUUGGAUUGAAGGAUGCAAAGUAUUGUUCCUGGGUGUGUCUGUGUGAGCUUCCCUAGUUUUGAGGUUUUGGGACUUGGACUGGUUUCCUUGCUCCUCAGGUUGCAGAUGGCCUAUUGUGGCACUUCGCCUUGUGAUCAUGUGAGUCAGUACUCCUUAAUAAACUCCCGUUCAUUUAUACAUCUAUCCUAUAAGUUCUGCCUCUCUAGAGAACCCUAAUACAAAUUUCAUGAUAAAACUUGAACGAAAGAGGAGCUGCUUCUUAUGGAUGAGCAAAGAAAGUGAUUUCUUGAGAUGGACUCUACUCCUAGUAGAGAUGCUGUGAACAUUGUUGAAAUGACAAUAAAGGAUUUAGAAUAUUCCGUAAACUUAGUUAAUACAGAAGCAGCAGCAUUUGAGAGGACUGACUCCACUUUUGAAAGAAGUUCUACUGUUAUUAAAUGCUACCAAAUAUGGUACAGAGAAAUAUUUUGUGAAAGGAAGAGUCCAUUGACAUGGCAAGCUUCAUUACUGUCAUAUUUUAAUAACUUGCCACAGCUACCUCAAACUUCAGCAACCACCAGUCUGAUCAGUCAGUAACCAUCAAUAUCGAGGCAAGACCUUCCACCAGGAAAAAGAUUAUAACUCACUGAAGGCUCAGACGAUCAUUACUAUUUUUUUAGCAGCAAAGUAUUUUUAAUUGAGGUAUGUACAUUUUUAGACAUAAUGCUCUUGCACACUUACUAGACUACAGCAUACUGUCAACAUAACUUUUAUAGGCACUGGGAACCAAAAAUUUGUAUGAUUCACUUUGUUGCAAUACUUGCCUUACUGCGGCAGUCUGGAACCAAACCCACAAUAUCUCCAAGGUCCACCUGCAAAUGCAGGCAGUGGGCCAGGUAUACAUGCAUACAUAUGCCUUAUGUGAGGGGUGGGCACUGAGGUUAACUAGAAAGCAUGAGCCUAUUUUUGCCUUGUGGUAAUAAGGGCCUCAUAUUGCCAAAUUUUUCCAUUUUUUUCAAAAGAAGUAGGAAAGGAAAUGCAGGCUUUUAAAAUGUGAAAUCCCAAUUUUCAAUUGUUGGUUCAAAAAAAACUUAAAUCUCAACUAGCCAAAUAAAAUGCAUCUGGGGUCCACACCCAGCUACCCUAUAGGAUACUAAUUUAAAAUAUCUGGACUAUAGUCUAUAUUGAUGAGAGAAGUGGGGUGAAACUUGGCAUUCCCUUGCCAUUAACUUCUAGCCUCCCAGUAGUCCAGGCUGCCUUGAAUAAACACCAGACCAUCAUACAAAACAGAGUUUUUAUCUUAUUUAUUUAUUUAUGAGUUGGGUGUCUUGCUGCAUUACUCAGGAUGGAGUGCAGUGGCACAAUCAUAGUUCACUGAGGCCACGAACUGCUGUGCUCAAGUGAUCCUCUCACCUCAGCCUCCUGAGUAGCUGGGACUACAGGUGUAUGCCACCACAUAAGGCUAAUUUUAAUUUGUUUUUGAGAGACAGAGUCUUGCUAUGUUGCCCAGGCUGGUCUUAAACUCCUGGCCUCAAGCAAUCUUUCCACCUUGGCCUCUGAAAGUACUAGGAUUAUAGAAGUGAGCCGCUAUGCUUGACCAAAACACAGUUUUUAAAUCAAUUUAUGUCUUUACUGAAAUCUCUUAAAGAUGCCAAAGGGUGGGGUUUGGGUUCCAUUCAUAACACCAACAUUUCUGAAGAAUCCUCUUCUCUUGUCUCUUUCUCAAGUCCUCCUCAUGACAUCUGUGUUAGUCCGUUCUCACACUGCUAUGAAGGACUGCCUGAGACUGGGUAAUUUAUAAAAGAAAGAGGUUUUAAUUGACUCACAGUUCCACAGGGGUGGGAAGGCCUCAGGCGGAAGGGGAAGCAACCACAUCCUUCUUCACAUAGCGGCAGGAAGGAGAAGUGCCAAGCAAAGGGGAAAAGCCUUUCAUAAACCCAUCAGGUCUCAUGAGAACUCAAGAAGAGCAUGGGGAUAUGUGGAGGAAAAGUUAAAUCUUAAAUUUGAACUCAAUUGAAUGUGGACACAAACAAUGGUCACCAAGUCCCAGAACAGGUUGCAUGAGCCCCUUGAGGCGUUCAUCCAGACGGUUUUGGAGAAAUCUGUUCCUGUAUGUUAGUUAUUGAAAAACAACAAACAAUCAUAAAAACAAGUUGACCUUUUUGUGUUCCUUGAGUCCAGUCAUGAAGGGCCCUCGUGACUGGGCCUCAUGCCAAAUAAGUCGUUACAAAAAGAACUAGGGUCCCAUACCACGCCAAAGCUUCAUGAGACCUCUCCUCAUCUGUGCAUGGAUGAGCGGUCAACUCUGGAGCCCAGGCUGUUGCUUCCCUGUCUGGUGAUGAAUCCUCUAUAGUCUGGUAAGUGUAGUGGCCGACUCUGGAGCCCAGGCUGUUGCUUCUGGUCUGGUGAUGAAUCCUCCAUCGUCUGGUGAGUGUGUGUGUAUAUAUAUAUAGUCUAUAUUGAUGGGAGAAGUGGGGUGAAAGUUGGCAUGCCCUUGCCAUUAACUUCUAGCCUCCCAGUAGUCCAGGCUAUAUAUAUAUAUCUUCUCCCUUUUCCCCUUCCCAUUGCAAUUUGCUUGUAUCAUUUGCUUAUUAUAUCUGCAUUGCCAUUUACAUGGGAUAAAGGUUGUUUACCCUUGAAGGUAUUGCAUGUGUGUCUUUUCUUUUCCCUUUGUGCAUCUCCCUCAUAGAAAAGAGUAACCGCCCCCAUGAUUCAAUUGCCUACCACUGGGUCCCUCCCACAACACGUGGGGAUUAUAGGAACUACAAUUCAAGAUGAGAUUUGGGUGGGGACACAGCCAAACCAUAUCAACAGCCCAGCAGCUACUUCAGUCCUCCUUAAUUUAUCUCUUGAAUUCUCCCAAACCCAGCUCAUCCCUGGCUUGUUUCUCUUAUUCUUUCUCUCGCCUUCUGAUCCAUUCUGCUUUCGUUAGUAUGUAACUCCCUGCCUUCUCUUAGGUAGACCCAUCAACCCAUCCUACCCAUGGUACUGCACAAUUCAGAAUCCUUUCCCAAAUUUUCCCUUAUUAUGCACAAGAAAUACUCCAGGGCCAGGUGCAAUGGCUCACGCCUGUAAUCCCAGAACUUUGGAAGGCUGAGGCAGGAGGAUCGCUUGAGCCCAAGAGUUCAAGGCUGUAGUUAGUGAUGUUGGUGCCACUGCACUCCAGCCUAGGCAACACAACAAGACACUAUCUCAAUUAAAAGAAAAAAAAAGAAAAAAGAAAAAGAAAUACUCCAGAACUUGGCUAGUGAAGACUAAUUCCUCCUUCACAGGAAGGAAGUGGGGGCAGGGGAAAAUGAUGCUGUAAAUACUCUAAAAUAUGUAUUUUUUCCUGUCCCAUCAGCUAUGCCAUCUGGGAUGGGGUGACGCCUGGAUGAGAUGUCAUUUUAAAGGACAUUUCUGGGACAUGCUGGCAUCAAGGCAAGUUUUCAGGCUGGAAGCCAUUUGGGCAGAGGCAGAAUCUGGGCUCAGAGUCUAGCCCUGCAGGACCCAGUGUGGCAGCUGCGUGUCUCUGGAGCACUGGAGAGGGGGCUACUGCAAAUUAAGAUCUGCUGUAAAGAGCAUCUUCCUGGUUAUUCUCUGGGACGCAAAACCAUGGUGGUAUCUGAUCUCAUCACACUUCUGCCAGGAGGUGAAAUCGAAGAGGCUACAUUCUUGAUGCUCAGUGUCUUCUUCAGGUCAUUUGCCUGAGGACACCUGGGGAUACUGAGCUAUGAAAAGAAAACAUUUGGAAGAUCACUGAUUCCUUCAUGGAGAGGCUGGCUUGGGAAUAGAUGACGUGUCAAAGAUUGACAUCAACCUUGAGUGCUUAUUUGUGGACUUGAGAUACAGAUAAAAAAAAAAAAAAAAAAACCUCCCUAGAGUGAGGGCUACUUGGGAUACAUGCUAUAUCCCAAGGAGUUCUCAGUUUGAGGUCAGCCCCAGCUCUACAACUCACCAGGAGAGUGCGCGAGGAUGAGGGAGAGACAGCCUGCUCUGGUUCUCUUCAAGGUGACAAUGACACCUGUUGACAGAUGAGAAUUCCAGCCAGGAAUACAGAUUUAGGAAUCAUGUUUCUCACUCUCAUGAUGACAUAGAAGAGAUGCGUCUGAAUCUUUCUGCCAGUGUGUUAAAGUUAUUCUGAUAUUGACUGUAGUUCUGAGCUUUGUCUCUAUCCCACCAAACCACUAACUUCUGGAAAUUACUUGUAGACCAAGAUGGGAGGACUCCGUGUGUGGCUCCCUCUCUUCAUGUGACAAAGAAACUUCCUAAAAUACUAAAAGCUAAAGGAGAUUGUUAUCUAAGCUUGAGAUGGAAGGUUGCCAGCGGAAACUUGGAGGAUCACAGCCAGUCGCCUGGGAUUGACCACAGGGAGUGGCAGAGGCAGAAAGCAAAAGACCAGUUGCAAUUAUCCAGGUAAAAGAUGGAGGCUGUUGCAAUAAUCCAGAAUCCUGAAUUGAGCCUGUGUUCCCAGUUCCUAGAAACCCUCAAGGUUAUUGGUUUCCUCCUCGCUUAAUAGACCAGUGGAAGAAAUCUACCUCCAGUUCUAUCUUCACAUGAGCAACUGUUUACAGUUUACAAUAUUACUCUGAAAAUCAGUUCUUUUCAAGUUUUAUCUAACACCCACCAGAAGAAACAGAAGAUUAUGAAAAUGGAAUUUGUCAAAGUUCCUCUCCCAACAAUAUGAUAUUUAAUUUUGCUAACAUUUUUUUUUGAACACUUACUAUAUUGCAGACAAUGGUCUAAGUAAAGCAUUUUAUGUGCAUCCUAUCAUGUCAUCAUCACACAGCCCUGUGAGGUAGAUACUAUUAUUAUUAACCACAUUUCACAUUCAAAAAAACUGAGGCUUAGAGAGACUAAGUAAAUUGUCCAAGGUCACACAGCCAUGAAGUGGCAGAGCUGUGGUUAAAACCUAUGUCUGUCUGAUGUUUAAGAUUUUGCUGUUAGCAUUACUUUGAAAUGACAAUAUGAGGGCAUUUUAUGUAUUUUUUUUGCCCCAAUAUGAUCUGCAGAAACUAUGUAUUUUAAGUACUACAUUUCUUUUAUUUACCAAAUUAUUGUCAGAUAAGAAACCGAAAUAAAAGUUUACAGGGUCUAGGAUUCCUCCAUAAUGAAUGAACUUUGGGGUAUUUCAGUGACAAAUUGGCUUUAACGCGAUCAAAUUCCAUCCUACAAUGAAAGUGUGUUAGUUUGUGGUUUCAAGUUUAAAAACAGCACUGUAUUGUCUUCCAGAAAUAUAUAAAUAGAAAUUCAAGAAGUAUUUCAAUGAAUACAGAUAAAAUUAGUUUUGUUAGAACAUCAAAUAUGUGGGUUUCAUUUCUUAGCUCAGUUUAGAAACUGUAAUUUCAAUUUUUUUUAGCAGCUGUGGUAAAUUUUGAGAUUUGAAAUUUCAUAUAAUAUAAAUCCUCAUUUAUUGAGCAUUUAAAUUAUAUGCCCAACAAUUUACUGUGUACAUUACUUCACUUGUUCUUAACUAUAACUCUACAAAAUAUUAUUGUCCUUGAUUUAUAGAUGAAGAUAUUGAGACUCAGUUAAGUAACUUGCUUGAAAUUCAAAAACGUUAACUGUGGAAGGCAGUAUUUGAACCCAGUGUUCAAAACCCCAUGCUCUUUUUAUUAUAUGACCUUAUUUCCUAUUCAGUCUUCAGAAGAUAUAUUGUCUUAUUAGAUUAUUCUCGUUCUCUAAAUAAGUGACCUUGGGCAACUAUCUUUUUCCCUGGUAUUUUCCCCUGCCUUUAAAACAAUGUGAUCAAACUGGAAGUUUUUCACGAUCUCUCUUAGCCCUAAAGCUCCUUGGUUCUGUAAUUCCACCAAUAGCCCAUUUCAAAAAUAAUUCUACAGUAAUCAGUGGGACUCCUGUUUUUCCCAUCUUUUUUUUUUUUGAAACAGAAAAUUGAAACUUUUAAAUUAGUUUAGUAAAUACAUCUACUAGUUUUUUUCUUUUAUAGUCAUGGUUAUAUUAUUUGGUCCUUCUUAGUUGCAACAUGUUUCCUUGCUGUCAAUUUAUAAUACCUCUCAUCAACAAUAGCCUGAAGAAAUAGAUUUGAAUUGCUUUCCCUAAUUUAUAGCUGGAAAACUAGGCUACGCUGGUAUCUUAAAUUGACUUUCCUGAGGUCACGGGCACUCAGUGCCAAGAGGAGUUGGUACCUACGCAUUUGAAAUUUCUGGAUUUCUGGUCUUACUCUGUACUUAGUCACUCUUUUCUUUCAUUUGGCCCUAUGGUGGGCAAACUACAGCCUACAGGCCAAUUCCAGCCUACCAUCUGUUUUUGUAUGGUCCAUGAACUAAGAAUGGUUAUCACAUUUUAAAAUGGUGGGAAAAAAAGACUAUUUUGUGACAUAAAAAUUAUAUGAAAUCCAAAUUUCAGUGUCUAUAAAUUUUGUUGGAAUAUAGUUACCACACUCAUUCUUUUAUGCACUGUUUUUGGCUGGUUUUCUGCCUCAACAGCAGAGUUGAGUAGGUGCAACCAAGACUGUAUGGCCUACAAAGCCUAAAAGUUUGUUAUAGAAAAGUUUGCUGACCAACUCUAUUGGUUGCUUAGUAUUGCUAGGCACUCUGCAAGUCACAGGGAACACAGCAAACUAGACACAUGACUGCCUUGGGCUUAAGAAGAGGUUUCUAAACUUUUGAAUAAAAAACAAAACAAACAACAAACAAAGUUGGAGGGACAUAAAACUUCCAAAUAUUAAUUUUGCCAGUGGGGUUUGUUUGUUUUUUUGUUUGAGAUGGAGUCUUGCUCUGUCACCCAGGCUGGAGUGCAAUGGCGCGAUCUCGGCUCACUGCAACCUCUGCUUCCUGGGUUCGAGCAAUUUUCUUGUCUCAGCUUCCAGAGUAGCUGGGAUUACAGGCACCCGCCACCACGCUUGGCUAAUUUUUUUGUAUUUUUAGCAGAGACGGGUCUGGUCUCGAACUCCCGACCUCAGGUGAUUCGCCCAGCUCCUGGGCGUGAGCCCCAGUGGGUAUUUCUUAAAAACACAGCUACUAUUUUCACUCAUCAUUUUAUUUAAAAAAGGAGUAUGUUAAUACAAAAAAGUAUAUUAAUGCCAAAUUUGUAGGAAGAACAUAAUCUCAAAAAGCACUCUUUCAAAUGGAAUAUAUUAAGCUUCAUGAAAAACUUUACAUGGUCAUUGUUUUUCUCAUUUCAUUAUGGAUCAAAGUAAACUUUCUAGACUGGCCUAUAUCAUCAGACCAGCUUUGGGAAGCACAGGAGUAGUUCACAUUGUUACUUUUCAGGCAAAACAAUCUUUAAAAAUGUUUAGUCUUUAUAGUGAUAGAAUGCUUUAGUUUGAGAAUUUAACUGCUAGUAGCUUUUUUUUUUUUUUUUUUUUUUGAGAUGGAGUCUCGCUCUGUAUCCCAAGCUGGAGUGCAGUGGCGCGAUCUCGGCUCACUGCAACUUCAGCCUCCCGGGUUCACGCUAUUCUCCUGCCUCAGUCUCCCAAGUAGCUGGGACUACAGGCGCCCACCACCACGCCCGGCUAAUUUUUUGUAUUUUUAGUAGAGAUGGGGUUUUACCAUGUUAGCCAGGAUGGUCUCGAUCUCCUGACCUCGUGAUCCACCUGCUUCAGCCUCCCAAAGUGUUGGGAUUACGGGUGUGAGCCACUGCGCCCGGCCAACAGCUACUAACUUUUUAAAGUCAAAAAUAGAAAUAUAGUGAUGGGAAAUUCCAGAAAAGAAAUACAAAGGAAAAUGGGGAAGUAAAGAAAUCUGCCAAUAUUCACUCUCCCCUAACAGACAUUGUAUCCCAUUCGCCCUGUGUUUAGAUGGAGGAUAAUCCAUUUUAGCAUUGAUUUUUCAUCCUGGCUUCUCCAUAGAUGAAAAGAAGAUCAGAAUACUUUAUCUAUUGAAAUAUUGCCCUCUUCACUGCCACUAAGCCACCUUCAACAAACACAUGCACUCACUAAAAACCACAGCAUCAUCUCAAAACCGGAGCCAUCAAAAGAAAUGUGAAUUCCCAUGGAUGAAAAGCCCAUCCAUCAAUAAGGAUUCGAAGUUGGGAAGUGAUAGUUUCCCACUUGCUUUAGAAAGUUUGCUAAUGCUUCAUGACAGACUUCCUAUUUUGCAAUAACUAAAAUGACAGAAGACUAGAAAUUAUCGCUUUAUCUUAUAUGUCCUUAUUCCUGCAGUCUAUGUUAGUGUUUAUGUCCUAAAUGCAUUUUUUUUUUUUUUUUUUUGAGGCGGAGUCUCACUCUGUCACCCAGGCUGGAGUGCAGUGGCGUGAUUCCGGCUCAUUGCAACCUCCGCCUCCCAAGUUCAAGCAAUUCUCCUGCCUCAGCCUCCUGAGUAGCUGGGAUUACAGGCAUGCGCCACCACGCCCAGCUAAUUUUGUAUUUUUAAUAGAGAGGGGAUUUCACUAUCUUAGCCAGGCUGAUCUCAAACUCCCGAUCUCAAGUAAUCCACCUGCCUCAGCCUCCCAAAGUGCUGGGAUUACAGGCGUGAGCCACCACACCCUCCUAAAUGCAUUUUAUAGAACACUAUGCAUAGGAUGUAAUGUUUGGGGGAAAAACAGGAUUCUGUGCUCAAAGAACUACGAGAAAUACUUGGUUAAGCAAAAUCUCAAGGAUUACUUAACACAGGAUUUCUCAGGAUCUAUAAUAUGCUAUUGUCCAUUUAAAGCAUAUACUCAUGUAUAAGAUUCAGAGGCAAGAAAGAGAGCAAGGCACAUAGGAAUGCUUGAGUUUAGGUUACUGAAGUGAACUAAUUUAUUUGGUCAUUUUAGCACCAACAAUUAUAGAAGAAUAGGCCAAUUAUUUUUAUUGACCCAGAUAAUUCUGGGUCUCUGUUGAAAUUGUCUUUGAUAGUUUUCUGGUUUCAUAUCAGCUUUUGAACAGUUUAUUUUUAUCAAUAGAGUGUCCUUUUGCUUAAAUACUUUUCCUCAUUUAAUACAUAUUCCUGCCCUGUAAAUGCAGAUAUCAUCUUUUAAUGUUUAAGAAAUCAUCCUUAAAACUAUGAUUUUCUAAUGUGAAAACUGCCUAAGAACCAUGGAUUAAUGCAGCUGCUGAAAAUCCAAGAGGAGGUGAAACAAUAGGUUUUAUAAUUAAUGCAUUAUAUCAACUAGAGUAGUUUUGACUUUGAGUAACAGGAAACCCCAUUAAUGUAGCUUAAACAAAUAGGUUGUUUUUUCCCUCUUUAUGUGAUGAGUAGUUGGGAGGUGGGUACUCUGGAGAUGGGUAUUGUGGCUCGUGGGUGUCACCAAGCUACCUGGCUCCCUCUGUUUUCCCAUCCAGCCAUCCUUAGCAUGUGAUAUUCAUCUUCAUGACUGCAAGAUGGCUGCUGCUGCUCCAUGCAUUGCAUCCACAUUCAAGACAAAAAGAAUAGGGAAAUGAAGUAAGCAGAAGGUGUGUGUCAGCAGUUGUCUCUUUAUUAAAAAAACAACAAGAACAAAAAAACACACAAACCUUUCCAAAGCCCCAGCCAAUACACUUCCAAGUGUAUCUCAGUGGUCAGAAAAGUGGCACAUGGCCACCACCAGCUGUGUGAAAACCUAAGAAAUUAAAUUCUUUAGUUGGGCACAUUGGGGUUCUGCUAGAAACGUAACCUAAGUCUGGAGCUAGACUACCUUUUGAGAAUCUCAGCUCUGCCACUCAUUAGUUAUAUGAUUUUAGGUGAUUCAUUUCACUUGCCUCCCCUGUAAAGGGAGAUAAGAUAAUAAUAGGGUUGCUAAGUAUUAAUUGAGUUAAUAUUUUUAAAGUGUUUAGAACUGUAUCUGGUAUACAGUAAAUGUUAUAUAAGCACUUUCAAUAAAUGAGU